rnacentral:piRNA from 1 species
UGGGCAGCACAGGUUUCAUUAUUGAGAUGU